UGGGCAGCCUGAGCGCAGCAGCACAGCUCCUCCCCAGAGGCUGCUGUCCUUUAGUCCAGGGACCCGCAAAAACAGUGUGUGAGAGGCGUUGACCCCUGAGCUCCCUGUUGUCCAUUCCACCUCUGCCAGAGUUAUAAUUAUUUGCUAUCUACCUCUGUAGGAUGACAAGUGUCUGCAAGUCUUCCCCAUCAAGACUUUGAGGCUGUCUUUUCCCCCUUUCUUUCCAAAUCAUCUGACACCUUAAUGCAAUCAGAAUUAAGUUGGAAGGUCUCUGGAGCAUGAAGUAAUUGAAUCUAUUAAACAGACACUCCUGGCUCUGUCCUAAGGGAGCAAGAUCUGGAGGAACAAGGUCAUCUCUACUGAAACCCUUCUACACAGCAAGCCCGAGAUGCCUUCCUCACCACUGGUCUAAAUACUAUUAGCAUGGGAUAUUUGCUGAAGUUCCCAGCUUUUGGCACCUGAGACCUAGUGAUCCCUGCAUAGCAGACAACAUCUCAAGUCCCAGGACUGGGGAGAUAAACAAACACUGUCUAUGCACAAUGAAUGUAUUUGUUUUAAAAAAUAAAGCAAUUUGAAACCAUGUA